rnacentral:rRNA from 1 species
GAUUAACGCUGGCGGCGUGCCUAACACAUGCAAGUCGAACGGACCUUUAACGUUGAGAAUUCCGAUCCUUCGGGCGUCUCAAUAUUAAUGGUUAGUGGCGGACGGGUGAGUAACACGUUGGUACCUGCCCUCUAGUGGGGGAUAACUGCCCGAAAGGGUGGCUAAUACCGCAUGUGAUCUACGGAUCAAAGCAGCAAUGCGCUAGAGGAGGGACCUGCGGAUGAUUAGCUAGUUGGUAGGGUAAAGGCCUACAAAGGCGACGAUCAUUAGCUGGAUCGAGAGGUUGACCAGCCACACUGGGACUGAGAUACGGCCCAGACUCCUACGGGAGGCAGCAGUAGGGAAUCUUCGGCAAUGGACGAAAGUCUGACCGAGCAACGCCGCGUGAGUGAAGAAGGUUUUCGGAUCGUAAAACUCUGUUGUUAGAGAAGAACAAGGAUGAGAGUAGAACGUUCAUCCCUUGACGGUAUCUAACCAGAAAGCCACGGCUAACUACGUGCCAGCAGCCGCAGUAA